GAGAGCGUUAAGAAGGAGCUGAGGAGGAGGGUCGGGGUGGGGAGCAGAGACGGGGCCAGGGACCCCGCUCCGGCUCCGCGCCGCCGGUCGCUUACAUGCCCAGGUCGCUGUAGGUGUUGAAGAACUCCAUCUGGUUGCACGCCUGGAUCCAGCCCACCACCCAGGAAGAAGAUUUCUCACACCCAGUGGAACCAUCCUUCUGUCAGAUGGAGACGACUCUCUGCUUCCAGAAUUCUGCCAAACCAACCACAGGAACAAUGACUUGGUCAUUUCCUCCCAAGCUUGGUUUCCAGUAAACUCCAAAAAAA